GACGAACGCUGGCGGCGUGCUUAACACAUGCCAGUCGAACGGAAAGGCCCCUUUGGGGGUACUCGAGUGGCGAGCGGGUGCGUAACACGUGAGUAACCUGCCCUUGACUUCGGGAUAACUUCAGGAAACUGGGGCUAAUACCGGAUAGGAAUCCUUGCUGCAUGGUGGGGGUUGGAAAGCUUCGGCGGUUUUGGAUGGACUCGCGGCUUAUCAGCUUGUUGGUGGGGUAGUGGCUUACCAAGGCUUUGACGGGUAGCCGGCCUGAGAGGGCGACCGGCCACAUUGGGACUGAGAUACGGCCCAGACUCCUACGGGAGGCAGCAGUGGGGAAUAUUGCACAAUGGGCGGAAGCCUGAUGCAGCAACGCCGCGUGCGGGAUGACGGCCUUCGGGUUGUAAACCGCUUUCAGCAGGGGCGAAGCUUGUGGUGACGGUACCUGCAGAAGAAGCACCGGCUAACUACGUG
rnacentral:rRNA from 1 species